rnacentral:rRNA from 1 species
GACGAACGCUGGCGGCGUGCUUAACACAUGCGAGUCGAACGGAAAGGCCCUUUCGAGGGUACUCGAGUGGCGAACGGGUGAGUAACACGUGGGCAACCUGCCCUCAGCUCUGGGAUAACUCCGGGAAACCGGGGCUAAUACUGGAUAUUCACUGCUCAUCGCAUGGUGGGUGGUGGAAAGUUUUUCGGCUGGGGAUGGGCCCGCGGCCUAUCAGCUUGUUGGUGGGGUGAUGGCCUACCAAGGCGACGACGGGUAGCCGGCCUGAGAGGGCGACCGGCCACACUGGGACUGAGACACGGCCCAGACUCCUACGGGAGGCAGCAGUGGGGAAUAUUGCGCAAUGGGCGGAAGCCUGACGCAGCGACGCCGCGUGAGGGAUGACGGCCUUCGGGUUGUAAACCUCUUUCAGCUCUGACGAAGCGAGAGUGACGGUAGGAGCAGAAGAAGCACUGGCCAACUACGUGCCAGCCGCCGCCGUAAAAC